AGCAGCCGCGGUAAUUCCAGCUCCAAUAGCGUAUAUUAAAGUUGUUGCAGUUAAAAAGCUCGUAGUUGAAUUUCGGGGUUAGUAGGUUGGUCAUGCCUCUGGUAUGUACUGGUCUCACUGAUUCCUCCUUCCUGAUGAGCCGUAAUGCCAUUAAUUUGGUGUUGCGGGGAAUUUGGACUGUUACUUUGAAAAAAUUAGAGUGUUUAAAGCAGGCUCACGCUUGAAUACAUUAGCAUGGAAUAACGGAAUAGGACGUUUGAUUCUAUUUUGUUGGUUUCUAGGAUCGACGUAAUGAUUAAUAGGGAUAGUUGGGGGCAUCAGUAUUCAAUUGUCAGAGGUGAAAUUCUUGGAUUUAUUGAAGACUAACUACUGCGAAAGCAUUUGCCAAGGAUGUUUUCAUUAAUCAAGAACGAAAGUUAGGGGAUCGAAGACGAUCAGAUACCGUCGUAGUCUUAACCAUAAACUAUGCCGACUAGGGAUCGGAUGAUGUUAAUUUUUUAAUGACUCA
rnacentral:rRNA from 1 species